AAUUAAAGAGCUUCUGCACAGCAAAAGAAACUAUCAACAGUGUACACAGACAACCUACACAAUGGAUAAAAUAUUUGCAAAAUAUGCAACUGACAAAGGUCUAAUAUCCAGAAUUUAUAAGGAACUGAAGCAAAUCAAGAAGCAAAAACGAAAUCGCCCAAUUAAAAAAUGGUCAAAGGACAGGAGCAGACACUUUGCAAAAGAAGACAAUUUAAAGCAGUUAUUAAAUACAUGAAAACAUGCACAACACCACUAAUCAUC